AACUUUUAACAAUGGCUCACUUGGCUCUCGCAUCGAUGAAGAACGCAGCGAAAUGCGAUACGUAAUGUGAAUUGCAGAAUUCAGUGAAUCAUCGAAUCUUUGAACGCACCUUGCGCCCCUUGGAAUUCCGAGGGGCACACCCGUUUGAGUGUCGUGAACAUCCUUCAACCUUUCUUGGUUUCUUAACCGGGGAAGGCUUGGACUUUGGGGGUCUUUCAUUGCUGGCCUCUUUGAAGCCAGCUCCUCCUAAAUGGAUUAGUGUGGUCUGCUUUGCCGAUCCUUGACGUGAUAAGAUGUUUCUACGUCUUGGGUUUCGCACUGUCGCUUUAGACCCCGCUUCUAACCGUCUUGCAUUCAAGACAGAGUUUUAAACCUUGACCUCAAAUCGGGUGAGACUACCCGCUGAACUUAAGCAUAUCAAUAAGCGGAGGCU
rnacentral:misc_RNA from 1 species